GCAUACCCCCCCCCCCCCCCGAUUGCACCUGAUCCCGUCUGAUCUUGGAAGCUAAGCAGUCCCGGGCCUGGCUAGUACCUGGAUGGGAGACCGCCUGGGAAUCCCGGGUGCCGUAGGCC
rnacentral:rRNA from 1 species